AUGAACGCUGGCGGCGUGCCUAAUACAUGCAGGUCGAGCGAACAGACGAGGAGCUUGCUCCUCUGAUGUUAGCGGCGGACGGGUGAGUAACACGUGGAUAACCUACCUAUAAGACUGGGAUAACUUCGGGAAACCGGAGCUAAUACCGGAUAACAUGUUGAACCGCAUGGUUCAACAGUGAAAGACGGUCUUGCUGUCACUUAUAGAUGGAUCCGCGCCGCAUUAGCUAGUUGGUAAGGUAACGGCUUACCAAGGCAACGAUGCGUAGCCGACCUGAGAGGGUGAUCGGCCACACUGGAACUGAGACACGGUCCAGACUCCUACGGGAGGCAGCAGUAGGGAAUCUUCCGCAAUGGGCGAAAGCCUGACGGAGCAACGCCGCGUGAGUGAAGAAGGUCUUCGGAUCGUAAAACUCUGUUAUUAGGGAAGAACAAAUGUGUAAGUAACUAUGCACGUCUUGACGGUACCUAAUCAGAAAGCCACGGCUAACUACGUG
rnacentral:rRNA from 1 species